rnacentral:rRNA from 1 species
AUUGAACGCUGGCGGCAGGCCUAACACAUGCAAGUCGAGCGAGCGGCGGACGGGUGAGUAAUGUAUGGGGACUGCCCGAUAGAGGGGGAUAACUACUGGAAACGGUAGCUAAUACCGCAUACUAUCGGAUAACCCAUUGGGGAUUAGCUAGUUGGUGAGGUAAUGGCUCACAAAGGCGACGAUCCCUAGCUGGUCUGCGAGGAUGAUCAGCCACACUGGGACUGAGACACGGCCCAGACUCUUACGGAGGCAGCAGUGGGGAAUAUUGCACAAUGGGCGAAAGCCUGAUGCAGACAUGACGCGUGUGUGAAGAAGGCCCUAGGGUUGUAAAGUACUUUCAGUCGAGAGGCGUUACCGACAGAAGAAGCACCGGCUAACUCCGUGCCAGCAGCCGCGGUAAUUC